AGAGUUUGAUUAUGGCUCAGGAUGAACGCUAGCGACAGGCUUAACACAUGCAAGUCGAGGGCAGCAUAAAAGUAGCAAUACGUUGGUGGCGACCGGCGCACGGGUGAGUAACGCGUAUGCAACCUACCUAUCAGAGGGGAAUAACCCGGCGAAAGUCGGACUAAUACCGCAUAAAACAGGGGCACCGCAUGGUGAUAUUUGUUAAAGAAAUUCGCUGAUAGAUGGGCAUGCGUUCCAUUAGGUAGUUGGUGAGGUAACGGCUCACCAAGCCGACGAUGGAUAGGGGAACUGAGAGGUUGGUCCCCCACACUGGUACUGAGACACGGACCAGACUCCUACGGGAGGCAGCAGUGAGGAAUAUUGGUCAAUGGGCGGGAGCCUGAACCAGCCAAGUCGCGUGAAAGGAAGAAGGAUCUAUGGUUCGUAAACUUCUUUUGCAGGGGAAUAAAGUGCAGGACGUGUCCUGUUUUGUAUGUACCCUGAGAAUAAGGAUCGGCUAACUCCGUGCCAGCAGCAGC
rnacentral:rRNA from 1 species